CACAACUUAGUUUAUAGAAUAGGAAUUUUGGGGAUUUCAGGAGGAGCUGUGA
rnacentral:tRNA from 1 species